UUAGUGCUUCCGAUGCUCACAACAUG
rnacentral:misc_RNA from 1 species